CAGUCGCCGCGGUAAUACGAAGGGGGCUAGCGUUGCUCGGAAUGACUGGGCGUAAAGGGCGCGUAGGCGGAUUGUUUAGUUAGGCGUGAAAUUCCUGGGCUUAACCUGGGGACUGCGCUUAAUACAGGCAGUCUAGAGUGAGGAAGAGGGUUGUGGAAUUCCCAGUGUAGAGGUGAAAUUCGUAGAUAUUCGCAAGAACACCAGUGGCGAAGGCGGCUCACUGGCCCGAUACUGACGCUGAGGCACGAAAGCGUGGGGAGCAAACAGGAUUAGAGACCCGCGUAGUCCCUGUCUCUUAUAC
rnacentral:rRNA from 1 species